UCGAGCGGACAGCAAGGGAGCUUGCUCCCGGAUGUUAGCGGCGGACGGGUGAGUAACACGUGGGUAACCUGCCUGUAAGACUGGGAUAACUCCGGGAAACCGGAGCUAAUACCGGAUAGUUCCUUGAACCGCAUGGUUCAAGGAUGAAAGACGGUUUCGGCUGUCACUUACAGAUGGACCCGCGGCGCAUUAGCUAGUUGGUGGGGUAAUGGCUCACCAAGGCGACGAUGCGUAGCCGACCUGAGAGGGUGAUCGGCCACACUGGGACUGAG
rnacentral:rRNA from 1 species